CUGUAGAUACUGAGCUAUUUAAUACUUCUGUCCAUUUAAGUUUAUCAGUUAUUCAGUUAGCGGCGAGAAGCUUGACAUUCUUAUAGCUUGAAAUAACUCACUGAUUAUUUUACUAUACUAUAAGGACCGGUCGAGUGUUAGCAAAUCCCACGAACAUGUCUCUUGAAGUACCGGAGUGUUGCGAGUGUCAGGCAGUGAUAAAAGUGUUUCUUGGGGGUGUUGCGAAUGGUAAGCAGUAAUGAUAAUGUUUCUCAGGAGUGUUCCGAGUGUUAGGUGGUAAUAAUUGUGUUUCUCAAGAGUGUUCCGAAUGUUAGGUGGUAAUAAUUGUGUUUCUCAAGAGUGUUCCGAAUGGUAGGUGGUAAUAAUUGUGUUUCUCAAGAGUGUUCCGAAUGUUAGGUGGUAAUAAUUGUGUUUCUCAAGAGUGUUCCGAAUGUUAGGUGGUAAUAAUUGUGUUUCUCAGGAGUGUUUCGAGCGUUAGGUAAAAUAAGUGUUUCUGAGGGCUGUUCCGAAUGUUAGAUAGUGUUAAGUUUUUCUUGUGACAUUUAAACAACAUUUAUCUCUCUUUCUCUCUCCCCAGGUAAUCAUUUAUCUAACUUAUUUUAUUAUCAAACAUCUAUUACCACUAACCUAAUUCAUAUAGACAACCUUAGUCUCUCUUUCUUUCAUUCUAGCUAACGUAUGGACGCCACUGAACCUUGGAAACCCACAAACACUUAUGUCUUAAUUACCUGACUACUUAUCAAACAUCUAUUACCACUAACCUAAUUCAUAUAAACAACUUUAGUCUCUCUUUCUCUCAUUCUAGCUAACGUAUGGACGCCCUUGAACCUUGGAAACCCACAAACACAUAUUUUAAUUACCUUACUACUUAUCAAACAUCUAUUACCACUAACCUAAUUCAUAUAAACAACUUUAGUCUCUCUUUCUCUCAUUCUAGCUAACGUAUGGACGCCCCUGAACCUUGGAAACACACAAACACUUAUGUCUUAAUUACCUGACUACUUAUCAAACAUCUAUUACCACUAACCUAAUUCAUAUAGACAACCUUAGUCUCUCUUUCUCUCAUUCUAGCUAACGUAUGGACGCCCCUGAACCUUGGAAACCCACAAACACAUAUUUUAAUUACCUUACUACUUAUCAAACAUCUAUUACCACUAACCUAAUUCAUAUAGACAACCUUAGUCUCUCUUUCUUUCAUUCUAGCUAACGUAUGGACGCCCUUGAACCUUGGAAACCCACAAACACAUAUCUUAACAUCUAUUACCACUAACCUAAUUCAUA